UUCACAAAGCUUCCUGAGCAAGAAAUCUCAACAAAAUACCGCUCAAAAAACCCUAGCAGGUCAAACAAUUGCUCCGAUGCCGGAUAUAUGAUCGGCAGCCUUCGCGUUCCUCAGUUUCUGGCGAAGCAAGAGAAACAAAACCGCCCCGCUCUCAAUGAUGCUGCCAUUGAUACUGUUAUGGACUCUUCUCUUCAACUAUUCUCAAGUAUUAUGUAGUGAAGGUCAAUGAUAGAGAAAAGGGUACCGAGAGAGGUGUUGCCCAAAGAAGUAAUAUAUGAGGGUAGAGGUGAACAUUCUUCUCUGCCCUGGUAUUUGCGAUCUGAGCAGAGUUCCAUUUCAGAAGUUUACAUGAAAAUAACUUCAUACUUGAAACUUAAAUAUUCAACUGCUGCAGGGCUGUCCAAAAUAGCUCAGAAAGCACUCAGAAGGACUCAUUAACAGGUUUUGCAUGUGUAUGGACUUCUUGAAUUGCAAAGUGUGAUUGUGGAAACAUUCAGAAUCUUUUGUACCUUCUAUAUUGAGUGCACAGAAACAACAUUAGUUCUUCAAAAUGCCACUCAAGAUACUUUGGUUAUUCUGGAUGAACUAAGUCUUGAUGGAUAUGCCAUUGCAUAUGUGGUGAGAUUUUGCUCUUUAAUGACUAGUCUUUUGCCACAUUUCUUUGGUCAUCUCAUCUACAUUUCAAACUUCCAAUUAUAUUAUGUUUAACAGCUUUGGUUCUAUUGAAACAAUUAGACCAUUCUAGAUAUUUACUUGAGAGAGACUUGUAAUAUGUUUGUUCUACAAACUUAUAAACAUAUGCAUGUGUUGAGCACUUAGGCUUAUUUUGAUUGUAGACUUCCUAAUCAUGAGCCUGAGAAAUUAAAUUAUGCUGACCAUGUAUAAAAUGUUCCAGUACUUGUUUAUUCUAAAGGGUGGCAACCACUGAAAGAAAGCAGACAUAAAACAUAAACGUUAUAUUGAAAAAAUUGCACCUUUUUCAUCCGAAUAAAAAUAGAGAAAAUAAAGAAAUUAUUGUAUUAUUGUUACUAUAAUUUUUCUUUUUUCGUUGAACAUGAUAAACAUUUUAGUGCUUCAACUGAUGUUGCAUGUUGGUGCUUUGCAAACAUGUAUUCUCGUUAAAGCUGUAAACAAGCU